AGCGAACGCUGGCGGCAGGCCUAACACAUGCAAGUCGAACGAACCUUUCGGGGUUAGUGGCGGACGGGUGAGUAACACGUGGGAACGUGCCUUUAGGUUCGGAAUAACUCAGGGAAACUUGUGCUAAUACCGAAUGUGCCCUUCGGGGGAAAGAUUUAUCGCCUUUAGAGCGGCCCGCGUCUGAUUAGCUAGUUGGUUGAGGUAAUGGCUCACCAAGGCGACGAUCAGUAGCUGGUCUGAGAGGAUGAUCAGCCACAUUGGGACUGAGACACGGCCCAAACUCCUCCGGGAGGCAGCAGUGGGGAAUCUUGCGCAAUGGGCGAAAGCAUGACGCAGCCAUGCCGCGUGAAUGAUGAAGGUCUUAGGAUUGUAAAAUUCUUUCACCGGGGACGAUAAUGACGGUACCCGGAGAAGAAGCCACGGCUAACUUCGUG
rnacentral:rRNA from 1 species